UACGGGGGGGGCAAGCGUUGUUCGGAAUUACUGGGUGUAAAGGGCUCGUAGGCGGCCAACUAAGUCAGACGUGAAAUCCCUCGGCUUAACCGGGGAACUGCGUCUGAUACUGGAUGGCUUGAGUUUGGGAGAGGGAUGCGGAAUUCCAGGUGUAGCGGUGAAAUGCGCAGAUAUCAGGAGGAACACCGGUGGCGAAGGCGCCACUCUGGGCCGGUACUGACGCUGAGACGCGAAAGCGUGGGGAGCGAACAGG
rnacentral:rRNA from 1 species